AUUGCCUAUUCCUCCAUUAUAUUCAUCUCAAUACAUGCUUCACUAAAUUAAAACAAGCAUAAUAUCUACAAGGUAUCAAUUUUGCCAAAUUCAGAGACUCUGCAUGAGAUAUCAAAUAUGAAGUACAAUAAAUCAUAAUCUUUGUCAAAAAGUUACCAGAGUAAUAUCUCAAACACUUUAUGCAAUGAAGAUAAUAGCCUUAAAAGAAUAAGGUUCGGAUUCAACUUCCAUUAACAAAACAUGGACAUUCAUCAGUUCUCUUACAAACAAAAUAUUACUCAAAAAUAGAUAAUAAACAAAAAGAGACUGAAGUAAAAAUGACUAAACCCUCUAGUUGCCAUUCGUUUGAAAAAUUAAGCUAUAAA
rnacentral:misc_RNA from 1 species